rnacentral:rRNA from 1 species
UACGGGGGGGCAAGCGUUGUUCGGAAUUACUGGGCGUAAAGGGCUCGUAGGCGGCCAACUAAGUCAGACGUGAAAUCCCUCGGCUUAACCGGGGAACUGCGUCUGAUACUGGAUGGCUUGAGAUUGGGAGAGGGAUGCGGAAUUCCAGGUGUAGCGGUGAAAUGCGUAGAUAUCUGGAGGAACACCGGUGGCGAAGGCGGCAUCCUGGACCAACACUGACGCUGAGUGAGCGAAAGCCAGGGGAGCAACGGG